rnacentral:rRNA from 1 species
UGAGGAAUUUUGCGCAAUGGGAGCAAUCCUGACGCAGCAACGCCGCGUGUGCGAAGAAGGCCUUCGGGUUGUAAAGCACUUUUUGGAAGGAUUAGGAAGGAAUGUACUUCCAGAAUAAGUCUCGGCUAACUAUGUGCCAGCAGCCGCGGUAACACGUAGGAGGCAAACGUUAUCCGGAUUUACUGUGCGUAAAGCGCGUGUAGGUGGUUCUGUAAGUAGGGCGUGAAAGCUCCUGGCUCAACUGGGAGAGGCCGUUCUAAACUGCAGAGCUAGAGGAUGGUAGAGGGAGGUGGAAUUCCGGGUGUAGCGGUGGAAUGCGCAGAUAUCCGGAGGAACACCAGUGGCGAAAGCGGCCUCCUGGACCAUUCCUGACACUCAGACGCGAAAGCUAGGGUAGCAAACG